rnacentral:lncRNA from 1 species
UGUCACUGUGACUCUUAUGAUGGAUGAGAAAAGGUCUCACACCUUUCUAACCCUUCAAGAUCAGUUUAGAGUAUACAGAAAUAUUCAUAGAAUAUUGUACAUAACCAUCUGAAUAUGAUAUCACGACACUGCUCUGUUGGAACAGGAGAAGUACUCAAACACGGUACCUGACCCCAGGAGGAGCAUAAAGAGAGCAAAGCCACUCCUGAGGAAGCAGAGGAAGACAACUCAAGGGGAAUGAAGCAGUGCCUUUAAAUGACCUUUGAGGACAAAUGGGAUUGCAAUAAAAUAACAAAGGUGAAGGAUACAAAGUAGAUAACUAAACAUAUAAAAACUUUUGCCUUACCAGGGAACAGGUAGUUAUUUUCUAU